rnacentral:misc_RNA from 1 species
GUGAAUUGAAUUCUGUCGAGUUGUUGCUGGCCUUGUAUAGGCAGGUGCACGCUUGACUCAAUUUAUCAACCAACCACCUGUGCACCUCUUGUAGACCUGAUUAAUGCUCGAGUUUAACUCGGAUUGAAGGAUUGCUUUCUGGAGCUUUCUGUCAAUUUUCAAGUCUAUGUCUUUUAUAUAUACUCUUGAUGAAUGAAUGUCUAUUGAACUUUAACAAUAACAAUA